rnacentral:rRNA from 1 species
AAAGAUGAAUCAAAGAAGGUAAUAAUCCUGUAGUCGAAAAUGUUGUCUCUCUUGAGUGGAUCCUGAGUACGACGGAGCACGUGAAAUUCCGUCGGAAUCUGGGAGGACCAUCUCCUAAGGCUAAAUACUCUCUAGUGACCGAUAGUGAACCAGUACCGUGAGGGAAAGGUGAAAAGCACCCCGGAAGGGGAGUGAAAUAGAACCUGAAACCGUGUGCUUACAAGUAGUCAGAGCCCGUUAAUGGGUGAUGGCGUGCCUUUUGUAGAAUGAACCGGCGAGUUACGAUUUGAUGCAAGGUUAAGCAGUAAAUGUGGAGCCGUAGCGAAAGCGAGUCUGAAUAGGGCGUUUAGUAUUUGGUCGUAGACCCGAAACCAGGUGAUCUACCCUUGGUCAGGUUGAAGUUCAGGUAACACUGAAUGGAGGACCGAACCGACUUACGUUGAAAAGUGAGCGGAUGAACUGAGGGUAGCGGAGAAAUUCCAAUCGAACCUGGAGAUAGCUGGUUCUCUCCGAAAUAGCUUUAGGGCUAGCCUCAAGUGAUGAUUAUUGGAGGUA